AGUGGCGCACGGGUGAGUAACGCGUGGGUAAUCUGCCUCGGGAUCGGGGAUAACAUUGCGAAAGCGAUGCUAAUACCGGAUAAAAUCUGGUUGGCUACGGUGAACCGGAUCAAAGGUGGUCUCUUUAUAAAAGCUACCGUUUGGAGAUGAGCUCGCGUACCAUUAGCUAGUUGGUGAGGUAAAGGCUCACCAAGGCGACGAUGGUUAGCUGGUCUGAGAGGAUGAUCAGCCACACCGGAACUGGAACACGGUCCGGACUCCUACGGGAGGCAGCAGUGAGGAAUUUUGCGCAAUGGUGGAAACCCUGACGCAGCAACGCCGCGUGAGUGAUGAAGGCUUUCGGGUCGUAAAGCUCUGUCAGGUGGGAAGAACCCACCAAGUGUUAAGACCACUUGGUGCUAGACGGUACCACCGAAGGAAGCACCGGCUAACUCCGUGCCAGCAGCCGAGGUAAUACGGGGGGUGCGAGCGUAAUACGGAAUCAUUGGGCGUAAAAGGGCGCGCAGGCGGAAAAGUAAGACAGAAGUGAAAUCCCGGGGCAUAACCCCGGAUAGUGCAUAUGAAACUAUGAGACUUGAGUAAUGGGAGAGGGAAGCGGAAUUCAAGAUGUAACGGUGAAAAGCGUAGAUAACAGGAGGAACACCGUGGCAAAGGCGCCUCCUGGACCAAUACUGACGUCUGAGGGAUCGAAUGCUUGGGGUACCGAACAGGAUUAGAUACCCUGGUUAGUCCACGCAGUAAACGUGAUUCACUAGUUUAAGCGGGGUAUUGACCCCUGCUGUGCCGGAGUUAACGCAUUAAGUGGAUCCGCCUGGGGAGUACGAUCGCAAGAUUAAACUCCAAAGGAAUUGACGGGGGCCCGCACAAGCGGUGGAGCAUGUGGUUUAAUUCGACGCAACGCGAAGAACCUUACCUGGACUUGACAUCUCGGGAAUUCCGUUGAAAGACGGGAGUGCCUUUAACGAGGAAUCCGAUGACAGGUGCUGCAUGGCUGUCGUCAGCUCGUGUCGUGAGAUGUUGGGUUAAGUCCCGCAACGAGCGCAACCCCUAUCUUCAGUUACCAUCAAGGUUGAUGCUGGGGACUUUGGAGAUACUGCCCCGGUUAACGGGGAGGAAGGUGGGGAUGACGUCAAGUCCUCAUGGCCUUUAUGUCCAGGGCUACACACGUGCUACAAUGGUAUGUACAAAGGGAAGCGAUCCCGCGAGGAGGAGCUAAUCCCAAAAAGCAUAUCAAAGUUCGGAUCGGAGUCUGCAACUCGACUCCGUGAAGUUGGAAUCGCUAGUAUUCGCGGAUCAGCAUG
rnacentral:rRNA from 1 species